GAUGAACGCUGGCGGCGUGCCUAAUACAUGCAAGUCGAGCGAACGGACGAGAAGCUUGCUUCUCUGAUGUUAGCGGCGGACGUGUGAGUAACACGUGGAUAACCUACCUAUAAGACUGGUAUAACUUCGGGAAACCGGAUCUAAUACCGGAUAAUAUUUUGAACCGCAUGGUUCAAAAGUGAAAGACGGUCUUGCUGUCUCUUAUAGAUGCAUCCGCGCUGCAUGAGCUAGUUGUUAAGGUAACGGCUUACCAAGGCAACGAUGCAUAGCCGACCUGAGAGGGUGAUCGGCCACCCUGGAACUGAGCCACGGUCCAGACUCCUACGGGAGGCCGCAGUAGGGAAUCUUCCGCAAUGGGCGAAAGCCUGACGGAGCAACGGCGCGUGAGUGAUGAAGGUCUUCGGAUCGUAAUACUCUGUUAUUAGGGAAGAACAUAUGUGUAAGUAACUGUGCACAUCUUGACGGUACCUAAUCAGAAAGCCCCGGCUAACUACGUG
rnacentral:rRNA from 1 species